rnacentral:rRNA from 1 species
CCUACGGGUGGCAGCAGUCGAGAAUCAUUCACAAUGGGGGAAACCCUGAUGGUGCGACGCCGCGUGCAGGAUGAAGGCCCUCGGGUUGUAAACUGCUUUUAUAAGCGAGAAAUAUGAUGGUAAUUUAUGAAUAAGGAUCGGCUAACUACGUGCCAGCAGCCGCGGUCAUACGUAGGAUCCGAGCAUUAUCCGGAGUGACUGGGUGUAAAGAGUUGCGUAGGUGGGAUAAUAAGUAGCUAGGGAAAUCUGGUGGCUCAACCAUUCAGACUAUUAGCUAAACUGUUAAGCUCGAGACCGUUAGGGGGAAGUGGAAUGUGUGGUGUAGGAGUGAAAUGCGUAGAUAUUAGAAGGAACACCAAUAGCGAAGGCAGGUUACUGGGACGGUUCUGACGCUGAGGCACGAAAGCGUAGGGAGCAAACGGGAUUAGAUACCCCAGUAGUC